GGGGGCGUAGCUCAGUUGGGAGAGCGGUUGGUUCGCAAUCAACAGGUCGGCGGUUCGAUCCCGCCCGUCUCCACCA
rnacentral:tRNA from 1 species